rnacentral:rRNA from 1 species
AUACGGAGGGUGCAAGCGUUAUCCGGAAUCAUUGGGUUUAAAGGGUCCGCAGGCGGAUUAAUAAGUCAGUGGUGAAAUCCUCUCGCUCAACGAGAGAACUGCCAUUGAAACUGUUAGUCUUGAAUUCGGUCGGAGUAGGCGGAAUGUGUCAUGUAGCGGUGAAAUGCAUAGAUAUGGCACAGAACACCGAUAGCGAAGGCAGCUUACUAGACCUGGAUUGACGCUCAUGGACGAAAGCGUGGGGAGCGAACAGGAUUAGAAACCCUAGUAGUCC